AUGCCUGUCGUUCCAAUCGUCUCCAUUUUGUUCAGUUUCUCACGCUAUGUCAUUACCAAGGUUUGUUAUCCUUUUAACUUCCCAAUGACUUUCAUCCUUCUUUCUCCUAUAAAUUCACUUGCAGGCAGUCUUAGAUUGCACAAAUCAUCUUCGGUGUUAGUUGUAAGAUUGCAUAACGACCUUAUUGAGUUUUUUGUAACAAGGAUUGAUUUCAAGUUUAUUUUUGUGUGUCGAUCAUCUUAUUCAUUUCCAACGAUUUACCUCCUCCUCUCUUUAUUUUGGACUUCAGAAAGCUUGAAAUGGUCUCAUCUUCGAUAA